GAUGAACGCUGGCGGCGUGCCUAAUACAUGCAAGUCGAGCGAACAGACGAGGAGCUUGCUCCUCUGACGUUAUCGGCGGACGGGAGAGUAACACGUGGAUAACCUACCUAUAAGACUGGGAUAACUUCGGGAAACCGGAGCUAAUACCGGAUAAUAUAUUGAACUGCAUGGUUCACUAGUGAAAGACGGUUUUGCUGUCACUUAUAGAUGGACCCGCGCCGCAUUAGCUAGUUGGUAAGGUAACGGCUUACCAAGGCAACGAUGCGUAGACGACCUGAGAGGGAGGUCGGCCACACGGGAACUGAGACACGGUCCAGACUCCUGGGGGAGGAAGCGGUAGGGAAUCUUCCGCAAUGGGCGAAAGCCUGACGGAGCAACGCCGCGGGAGUGAUGAAGGACUUCGGAUCGUAAAGCUCUGUUGGUAGGAGAGAACAAAUGUGUAAGUACCUAUGCUCAUCUUGACGGUACCUGAUCAGAAAGCCACGGCUAACUACGUG
rnacentral:rRNA from 1 species